ensembl:lncRNA
CUCUGGGCACACAACCAGCGCAGGCCGGGCAGCUGUGUGCACACCCGGAGACCCGGCUGCUGCGUGAGAAACCUCUCCACAGCUGGAGAGUUUCUGAAGCAGACCAAAGGACAGUGAUGGCCCCGAGCAUACGGUGCUGAGCCCACCAUGGCAGCGUGGGGCAGCGCCUGCAGCACUGACAGCAGCUACACGCAGCCUUAUCUACCCCAGACCUCAGGGACUACAGAUGCCACGUGGGAAGCGCCUGGGCAGCCGGCCGCACGCGAAACCUGGAUGUCUUCCUGCAAGCCCCUGGGAUAGCUGAAACCAGAGGGACAUUAAGCAGAAACCAUAAAGUCACAUUUCUGGAAUGCUUUAGUCAUCAAAGCUCUGUGCAAGUAAAUCUGCUGCACCUGGAGAAGAUGCACGGAGAUCUGACAGAGUGGGUAGCGGAGGAAUGCACUGUGGAGAGCCUGCAGGUCAUCCCCAGCACAGCCGGGACACCCAACCACACCUGUGUCUUACGCACGUCCACGAGAAGGCACUUCCAUAGAAGAUUUAUUUUCAGAAGCAAAG